rnacentral:rRNA from 1 species
GAUGAACGCUGGCGGCGUGCCUAACACAUGCAAGUCGAGCGAACAGACGAGGAGCUUUCUCCUCUGACGUUAGCGGCGGACGGGUGAUUAACACGUGGAUAACCUACCUAUAAGAAUGGGAUAACUUCGGGAAACCGGAUCUAAGACCGGAUAAUAUAUUGAACCUCAUGGUUCAAUAGUUAAAGACGGUUUUGCUGUCACUUAAAGAUGGAUCCGCGCUGGAUUAGUUAGUGGGUAAUGUAACUGCUUACCAAGGCUACGAUGCGUAGCCGACCUGAGAGGGUGAUCGGACACACUGGCACUGAGACACGGUCCAGACUCCUACGGGAGGAAGCAGUCGAGAAUCUUACGAAAUGGGAGAAAGCUUGACGGAGCAAAGCAGCGUGAGUGAUGAAGGUCUUAGGAUCGUAAAACUCUGUUAUUAGGGAAGAACAAAAGUGUAAGUAACUAUGAACGUCUUGACGGUACCUAAAGAGAGAGCAACGGCUAACUACGUG